UACGUAGGCAGCAAGCGUUGUUCGGAGUUACUGGGCGUAAAGGGUGUGUAGGCGGUUGGAUAAGUGUGGUGUGAAAUCUCCCGGCUUAACUGGGAGGGUGCGCUACAAACUGUCUGACUAGAGUGUGGGAUGGGUAAGUGGAAUUCCUGGUGUAGCGGUGAAAUGCGCAGAUAUCAGGAGGAACACCGGUGGCGAAGGCGGGUCUCUGGGCAACAACUGACGCUGAGGAGCGAAAGCGUGGGGGAGCGAACAGG
rnacentral:rRNA from 1 species